CAUAUCUUACUGCUCUCCCACAGGGCCUCCUGGGCUGCUCCCGCCCAGACACUUAGCCUUCUCCAAACAGCCCAGCUCUGCCCUUUCUCCUGUGUCCUCCUCGCUGCCUGUGCCUGGACGGCCCCUCCCUCAGCUCUGCCUGACCGCUGCUGUUCACCUCCCCUGGGAAGCCCUCCCUGACUGCUCUGUGCUCCCGGCAGCCCCCUUUGGAGGUCUUUCCCAGAGCUUAGACCUCGUCUCUCUCCCCCACCAGAUGGAACUCCUUAGGGACAGAAGUACAUCAGGACACUUCUGUAUCCAGAAGCCAAGCACAUUGGGGUCUUCAACGCCUGUGUGUUAAAUGACGGACCGAACAUGGGAGACCUGUCCCUCACCUUGGAGGAUAUUUCUAUGGAGCAUCAUGGCUCAGGAAAGCUGGAUUUGUGAAAGGAAGGCAGGAUUUGUGAAAGCUUAACCCAUUUCGCAUUGCUGUUUCCAAAGCUGCAAACUGUCACAUUUGGCCUAUCCAGAAGAAUCCACCUGCAAUACAGGAGACGCAGUGUGGUCCAGGAGCAUUUGUUUGGAGGAAGAGGAGGUUGGACAUCUUAGACCACAGGGGAAAAAAAAAGACAGCUGGCUUCUGGAACCCAUCUUCCCAGGCCAGGAGAAUAUCAAAUGCCUGAAAAUGAGAACGUCAGUCUUCAGGGUGGCCAUUCAGUAGGGUGCGGACACGUGCCGCGUGAGAACGCUGAUUGGGCGAUGGGAGAA